rnacentral:rRNA from 1 species
CCUGCCAGCCCGCUCAGAACUUAAAUAGAAUUGACGGGGGCCCGCACAAGCGGUGGAGUAUGUGGUUUAAUUCGAUGCAACGCGAAGAACCUUACCUGGUCUUGACAUCCCGGAGACCCUUAGGAAACUAGGGGGUGCUUCCAUCUGGAAGAAUCUGGAGACAGGUGCUGCAUGGCUGUCGUCAGCUCGUGUCGUGAGAUGUUGGGUUAAGUCCCGCAACGAGCGCAACCCUUGCCUUUAGUUGCCAGCAGUUCGGCUGGGCACUCUAAAGGGACUGCCGGUGUUAAACCGGAGGAAGGUGGGGAUGACGUCAAGUCCUCAUGGCCUUUAUGACCAGGGCUACACACGUACUACAAUGGCCGAUACAAAGGGCAGCGACACUGCGAGGUGAAGCCAAUCCCGUAAAAUCGGUCUCAGUCCGGAUUGGAGUCUGCAACUCGACUCCAUGAAGUUGGAAUCGCUAGUAAUCGUGGAUCAACAUGCCACGGUGAAUACGUUCCCGGGCCUU